UUAGAGUUUGAUCAUGGCUCAGAACGUACGCUGGCGGCACGCCUAACACAUGCAAGUCGAACGAAGUAGCAAUACUUAGUGGCAGACGGGUGAGUAACAUGUAGGUAUCUUCCCUUUGGCCUGGAAUAACACGAGGAAACUUGUGCUAAUACUGGAUAAGUCUUUACGGAGAAAGCUUUAUGCACCAUUGGAUGAGCCUGCACUUGAUUAGUUUGUUGGUGGGGUAAUGGCCUACCAAGACUUUGAUCAAUAGCUGAUUUGAGAGGAUGAUCAGCCACAUUGGGACUGAGACACGGCCCAAACUCCUACGGGAGGCAGCAGUGGGGAAUCUUGCACAAUGGAGGAAACUCUGAUGCAGCGAUGCCGCGUGAGUGAAGAAGGCCCUUGGGUUGUAAAGCUCUUUCGUCGGGGAAGAAAAUGACUGUACCCGAAUAAGAAGGUCCGGCUAACUUCGUGCCAGCAGCCGCGGUAAUACGAAGGGACCUAGCGUAGUUCGGAAUUACUGGGCUUAAAGAGUUCGUAGGUGGUUGAAAAAGUUGGUGGUGAAAUCCCAGAGCUUAACUCUGGAACUGCCAUCAAAACUUUUCAGCUAGAGUUUGAUAGAGGAAAGCAGAAUUUCUAGUGUAGAGGUGAAAUUCGUAGAUAUUAGAAAGAAUACCAAUUGCGAAGGCAGCUUUCUGGAUCAUUACUGACACUGAGGAACGAAAGCAUGGGUAGCGAAGAGGAUUAGAUACCCUCGUAGUCCAUGCCGUAAACGAUGUGUGUUAGACGUUGGAAAUUUAUUUUCAGUGUCGCAGCGAAAGCGAUAAACACACCGCCUGGGGAGUACGACCGCAAGGUUAAAACUCAAAUGAAUUGACGGGGACCCGCACAAGUAGUGGAGCAUGUGGUUUAAUUCGAAGAUACGCGCAGAACCUUACCAACACUUGACAUGUUCGUCGCGACUUUAAGAGAUUAAAGUUUUCGGUUCGGCCGGACGAAACGCAGGUGCUGCAUGGCUGUCGUCAGCUCGUGUCGUGAGAUGUUGGGUUAAGUCCCGCAACGAGCGCAACCCUCACUUUUAGUUGCCAUCAUUAAGUUGGGCACUCUGAAAGAACUGCCAGUGAUAAGCUGGAGGAAGGUGGGGAUGACGUCAAGUCCUCAUGGCCCUUACGUGUUGGGCUACACACGUGCUACAAUGGUAUUUACAACAGGAAGCAAGACGGCGACGUUAAGCAAAUCCUCAAAAAAUACCUCAGUUCGGAUUGCACUCUGCAACUCGAGUGCAUGAAGCUGGAAUUACUAGUAAUCGUGGAUCAGCGUGCCACGGUGAAUGCGUUCCCGGGCUCUUGUACACACCGCCC
rnacentral:rRNA from 1 species